UUUGUUGAAAAACGCAAAAGCUGAGAGAGAGAGAGAGAGAGAGAGAGAGACUCACAACAGCAAGAGACAUAGCAUACACACGAAGAAGAAGAAUAAAGGGAGCCAAAAUGGAAGAUAAGAGUCAGAUUCAGAGUAAAAAUAAGAAUACGAAUGAGAAUAAGAAGACUAAUAGUAACAAUGGCACUGAAAGUGAUGAUGAACCGGACUUACUUCACGUUGUUGUUCCGAAUUCCAGUUCCGAUUCCCAAAACGAUGGCGAAGACCAAGACGAAGACGAAGACGAAGACGGAGUUGCUCAAGUUGAACACAGCUACGAAGACGAUGAUAAUGGCGAUGAUGAAGAAGCGACGAGCAAAGAAAUCACGAAUCAGCCCCGCAACAAUGCCAAAAAUGGCGAUGACGAAGGAGAGAAAGAGGAUUCGACGAAGAUUAAAAGUAGGAACGAGACUGCUGCUUCGUCUCAUUGCUUUCCGAUUCAUCGCAUCAGUCGAAUCAUAAAGAGUGAGGAUCCUGAUAUUCGCAUUGCUCAAGAGUCCGUCUUCCUCAUCAACAAAGCUUCGGAGAAGUUUCUUGAAUUAUUCUGUAAGGAGGCAUAUGGUUGUGCCUUUCUGGAUCGUAAAAAGCAUGUUGAGUACAAGCACAUGUAAAUAAGAUUUGAAGCAGCUUUCAUACAGUUGCAAAGGCUUCGAAUAAACUUGUCAUGAUUGGAUGUAAUAGAAUCAGUUAUGAGUUGAGUGUUACAUGCUUUUGCUAAGAUUCUUCCUUUCCUUUGUUUCAGCCUCAGUUGUUAGUAAGCGAAGGAGAUUUGAUUUUCUUUCAGAUUUUGUUCCUGUGAAAGCAAAAGCGAAAGCUGAGGAUACCUUAUCAGAGUUGUCAUCAGCCAAGACAUGACAAAGACGAGACCUGGAAUGGAUAUUCUACCCUUGCCUUACCCAAGCUACCAGGAGUAAGUUGCAACUUCUUUUUUUGUUUUUAUUUUUAGGAGGCAUUAUAUCAGCAUAUCUAGAAGCUCAUCCGAUAUACCUUUUUGGCUGUGCCCAUACUUGUAAUACUGCUCCACCUUUGAAGAAAAUAUCUGAGGCAAGGAU